rnacentral:rRNA from 1 species
UCAGGCCUAACACAUGCAAGUCGAGCGGUAGAGAUUCUUCGGAAUCUUGAGAGCGGCGUACGGGUGCGGAACACGUGUGCAACCUACCUUUAUCUGGGGGAUAGCCUUUCGAAAGGAAGAUUAAUACCCCAUAAUAUAUUGAUUGGCAUCAAUCGAUAUUGAAAACUCCGGUGGAUAGAGAUGGGCACGCGCAAGAUUAGCUAGUUGGUGAGGUAACGGCUCACCAAGGCAAUGAUCUUUAGGGGGCCUGAGAGGGUGAUCCCCCACACUGGUACUGAGACACGGACCAGACUCCUACGGGAGGCAGCAGUGAGGAGUAUUGGACAAUGGGUGCAAGCCUGAUCCAGCCAUCCCGCGUGAAGGACGACUGCCCUAUGGGUUGUAAACUUCUUUUGUACAGGGAUAAACCUACCCUCGUGAGGGUAGCUGAA